rnacentral:rRNA from 1 species
AGAGGAAGUAAAAGUCGUAACAAGGUUUCCGUAGGUGNACCUGCGGAAGGAUCAUUAUUGAAUAAACCUGAUGUGGUUGUAGCUGGCUUUUCGAAGCAUGUGCUCGCCCGUCAUCUUUAUCUAUCCACCUGUGCACCUUUUGUAGUCUUGGAUACCUCUCGAGGAAACUCGGAUUUGGGAUCGCCGUGCUGUACAAGUCGGCUUUCCUUACAUUUCCAUGACUAUGUUUUUAUAUAUAUACACCAAAGAAUGUUUAAAGAAUGUCAUCAAUGGGAACUUGUUUCCUAUAAAAACUAUACAACUUUCAGCAACGGAUCUCUUGGCUCUCGCAUCGAUGAAGAACGCAGCGAAAUGCGAUAAGUAAUGUGAAUUGCAGAAUUCAGUGAAUCAUCGAAUCUUUGAACGCACCUUGCGCUCCUUGGUAUUCCGAGGAGCAUGCCUGUUUGAGUGUCAUUAAAUUCUCAACCUUCCAACUUUUAUUAGCUUGGUUAGGCUUGGAUGUGGGGGUUGCGGGCUUCACUACGAGGUCAGCUCUCCUUAAAUGCAUUAGCGGAACUUUUGCGGACCGUCUAUUGGUGUGAUAACUAUCUACGCCGUGGAUGUGAAGCAGCAGCUUUAUGAGGUUCAGCUUCUAACCGUCCAUUUGACUUGGACAAAUUUUUGACAAUUUGACCUCAAAUCAGGUAGGACUACCCGCUG